CACUCUCUCUCUCUGACUUAAUGCUGCUCAUUGAAUGAAAUGCAAAAUGGGAUUUUACUUGGGUCUAGAAAGGAGAACCUGUGUUUUCCUGGAGGUGAAUUUCUUAUUGUCACUUAACUAUUAAUCCUGAGUUUUGAAAGUGCUGUCAACUUCAGUGAAUGUAGAAAAUGAAAGAAUCCCUUUUCAUUUCCCUAAGCAUGAUACUAAUUCUUCUAUUUGAAUUCACAGUCUGCAAUUUUUCUAACCAUUGAAUCAUCCUGCAGUUAACAGAGUUUGUGAAAAAAAUCACAGUGGAUUGAAUAUAAAAGUGGAAUCUUUGCUGAAGCCAUUUGUACUGCUGUGUAAAAGUGUUUUCAGUACCAGAAAUGGUGAAAUAUUAGACACUGAAAUAACAUCCUCAUUAUAAUCUUCAUUUUGGAUAGAAUUUUGGUGGCUACCAUCUUAAGAAAAAAAAAAUCAAGUUGUAGAAAGUAAGUGUACCACCUUGAAAGCUUAACGUCUACAUUUCCAGACAUUAUGAGAUAUUGAGCUCUGUCUUAAGUGGUUUAUGAGACAUCAACUGCUAUAGUCUCAAAGUAAUUGUAAUGAAGGAAGUAAGCAAGAUGGUAAUCUGGAUUAUGUGAAAGGAACAUUCUGAUAUCUCAUAGGCUGUUAGUACCGGAAGUAAAUAUAGUACAACAUUAGAAAGAUGGAGACACUGACUAGUUUGAUACCUGCAACUUCAUAGAAUACACAAGCCUUGUUAUUUAUUUAUUCUUUUUUUUGUUUUUUUCUCACAGGUGAUCUUCAAGCGAAUCAGGUGGAUCCUUUUGGUUUCCCUGUCCCUUCACAAAAAGUUGGCAAAGCAAUAAAAAGGAAAAAGGAAAAGACUGAAGUCUGCCAUGGAGUAUUAAAAGUAAUUUCAAAAAUGCUUGAAGAAAACAAACAGUUUAGAACUAGACUCAUGACUUGCAGCGAGUUUAGUGGUGAAGGCAGAGAUGUGAACCAAAACACCCAGAAUAAGGCUUCCUGCUUGGAUGUGGAUGGGGCCAUCUUUGGAUGGGUGUAGCAAGAAAAUAAAUGAAGAUUCAAUUUCAACUGUUGCUUUAAAUUAGUGUUCAUUGUUUGUCUCAUCCAACACCCGUUGGAGUCAAUGUAAAGACUGCAAAUGGCUUCACUGGGCAUUGGAUCAGGGUCCAUAUUUGUUUGAAAUAUAUCUUGGUAGCAUGUUAGUUUCAGCAGUUUAUUUUAAUAUGGGUUAAAUUAAACUGUUCAGUUAAAGAAAUCUUUGUUUUUCAAAAAUCUCUAUUAAGCAUAAUUCAUCACUUAGUCAUUGUUAAUUGUUGAAAGCUUUUGAAUUGACACAACAUUGUGACGGUUUACCAGCAAAAGAAUAGAAAUACAAAUUUUAUGCUAAAACUAUAUAUUUAUGUUGUUAUACUCUGUAGCUUGUCAAAACUGUAAACAAACAUGAAUGCAGUAAAAUAAAAUUUCACACAGGAUGUGUACAUUGAAAAUGAA